UCCCAAAUGCUGGAGCAAAUGGGUCAGG
rnacentral:piRNA from 2 species